rnacentral:rRNA from 1 species
GAUGAACGCUGGCGGCGUGCCUAAUACAUGCAAGUCGAGCGAAUGGAUUAAGAGCUUGCUCUUAUGAAGUUAGCGGCGGACGGGUGAGUAACACGUGGGUAACCUGCCCAUAAGACUGGGAUAACUCCGGGAAACCGGGGCUAAUACCGGAUAACAUUUUGAACCGCAUGGUUCGAAAUUGAAAGGCGGCCUCGGCUGUCACUUAUGGAUGGACCCGCGUCGCAUUAGCUAGUUGGUGAGGUAACGGCUCACCAAGGCAACGAUGCGUAGCCGACCUGAGAGGGUGAUCGGCCAGACUGGGACUGAGACACGGCCCAGACUCCUACGGGAGGCAGCAGUAGGGAAUCUUCCGCAAUGGACGAAAGUCUGACGGAGCAACGCCGCGUGAGUGAUGAAGGCUUUCGGGUCGUAAAACUCUGUUGUUAGGGAAGAACAAGUGCUAGUUGAAUAAGCUGACACCUUGACGGUACCUAACCAGAAAGCCACGGCUAACUACGUGCCAGCCGCCGCCGUAA